GACGGAGGAUGCAAGCGUUAUCCGGAAUUAUUGGGCGUAAAGAGCUCGUAGGCGGUCUGUCGCGUCUGCUGUGAAAACUCAGGGCUUAACCCUGAGCUUGCAGUGGGUACGGGCAGACUAGAGUGCGGUAGGGGAGACUGGAAUUCCUGGUGUAGCGGUGAAAUGCGCAGAUAUCAGGAGGAACACCGGUGGCGAAGGCGGGUCUCUGGGCCGUAACUGACGCUGAGGAGCGAAAGCAUGGGGAGCGAACAGG
rnacentral:rRNA from 1 species